AGUGAACGCUGGCGGUAGGCCUAACACAUGCAAGUCGAACGGCAGCACAGUAAGAGCUUGCUCUUACGGGUGGCGAGUGGCGGACGGGUGAGGAAUACAUCGGAAUCUACUUUUUCGUGGGGGAUAACGUAGGGAAACUUACGCUAAUACCGCAUACGACCUACGGGUGAAAGCAGGGGAUCUUCGGACCUUGCGCGAUUGAAUGAGCCGAUGUCGGAUUAGCUAGUUGGCGGGGUAAAGGCCCACCAAGGCGACGAUCCGUAGCUGGUCUGAGAGGAUGAUCAGCGACACUGGAACUGAGACACGGUCCAGACUCCUACGGGAGGCAGCAGUGGGGAAUAUUGGACAAUGGGCGCAAGCCUGAUCCGGCCAUACCGCGUGGGUGAAGAAGGCCUUCGGGUUGUAAAGCCCUUUUGUUGGGAAAGAAAAGCAGCAGGUUAAUACCCCGCUGUUCUGACGGUACCCAAAGAAUAAGCACCGGCUAACUUCGUG
rnacentral:rRNA from 1 species